rnacentral:tRNA from 1 species
AUCUUGAUGGCUGAGGAAUAGCGGCAGACUGUAGAUCUGUAAACGGGAAUAAAUCUCUCAGGAUA